CUUCCCUUUCCCGAGGACCUCCCCAACCCAUCUCUGCAUCUCCCAGCUCCUCCCACUCCUGCUCCUCCCUCGCCCUACCCCACCCCACCUAUCCCCCAUCCGCAGCCCAAAAACUAAUCUGUUUUAGUUUGCAUUUUCUAGAGGCGUCCAUAAAUGGAAUCAUCCCAUAUGUACUUGAUUUUGUCUGGCUUCUUUCACUCAACAUAGUUACUUUGACAUGCCUGCGUGUUUCUGCAUGCAACAAUCAUUCCUUCCUUCCUGAGCAGUAUUCCAUUUAUGGAUAUACCACCGUGUGUUUAUCUAGUCAGCACCUGAUUUAGGCUGCUUUCAAUUUUCCUGGUUAGAACUACUAGGAACAUUCCUGUGCAAAUCUUCGUACAGACAUAUACGGUUUUUCUUCUCUGGGGUAAAUACCUGGAAGUGGAAUGCCCAGGUCAUAAGUCAUGAUGGCUGGAGCACUGGCAAGCUUCUGGUAUACAUGAAGAUGAGACCCACAUCUUGAUUUUAAAGAAGUAGAAGACAUGAAGGAGCCCAGGUUUCUGAAGACAGUGUGGAGCCAAUAUACUAGCCUUGGAUUGCCUGUCUUCAGAUUUCCAGUUACAUGAGAGACCAAUAAAUCUAUAUUUUGUUUAAAUCA